rnacentral:rRNA from 1 species
UACGUAGGGUCCAAGCGUUAUCCGGAAUCACUGGGCGUAAAGCGUGCGUAGGUGGUAAUUUGCGUGCAGUGCGAAAUUGUGUGGCUCAACCAUACAACGGUACUGCAUACGGGAUUACUAGAGGACAUGAGAGGCAAGUGGAAUUCCCGGUGUAGCGGUGAAAUGCGCAGAUAUCGGGAGGAACACCGGUGGCGAAGGCGGUUCUCUGGGCCUGUACUGACGCUGAGGAGCGAAAGCGUGGGGAGCGAACAGG